GUGGGCUAUAGCCUUGGUGGGGGGCGUGGGCGAAGUUCGUCCGCCGGACUCGAAAUGGGGCGAGACUUUGCGAGGGGCCUCGGGGUGCCAAAAAUAAGCCGCGGGCAAAGCCGCGCCCAAAAAUAAGCGCCCGAAGGUCGUGGUGCCAAAACCCCCCAGCGGAAAAAUGGCCAAACAACUGGUGGGCUAUAGCCUUGGUGGGGUGCGCGGGCGAAGUUCGUCCGCCGGACUCGGAACGGGGCGAGACUUUGCGAGGGGCCUCGGGGUGCCAAAAAUAAGCCGCGGGCAAAGCCUCGCCCAAAAAUAAGCGUCCGAAGGUCGUGGUGCAAAAACCCCCCAGCGGAAAAAUGGCCAAAAAACGGGUGGGCUAUAGCCUUGGUGGGGGGCGCGGGCGAAGUUCGUCCGCCGGACUCGGAAUGGGGCCAGACUUUGCGAGGGGCCUCGGGGUGCCAAAAAUAAGCCGCGGGCAAAGCCGCGCCCAAAAAUAUGCGCCCGAAGGUCGUGGUGCCAAAACCCCCCAGCGGAACAAUGGCCAAUAAACGGGUGGGCUAUAGCCUUGGUGGGGGGCGCGGGCGAAGUUCGUCCGCUGGACUCGGAAUGGGGCGAGACUUUGCGAGGGGCCUCGGGGUGCCAAAAAUAAGCCGCGGGCAAAGCCGCGCCCAAAAAUAAGCGCCCGAAGGUCGUGGUGCCAAAACCCCCCAGCGGAACAAUGGCCAAAAAACGGGUGGGCUAUAGCCUUGGUGGGGGGCGCGGGCGAAGUUCGUCCGCCGGACUCGGAAUGGGGCGAGACUUUGCGAGGGGCCUCGGGGUGCCAAAAAUAAGCCGCGGGCAAAGCCGCGCCCAAAAAUAAGUGCCUGAAGGUCGUGGUGCCAAAACCCCCCAGCGGAACAAUGGCCAAAAAACGGGUGGGCUAUAGCCUUGGUGGGGGGCGCGGGCGAAGUUCGUCCGCCGGACUCGGAAUGGGGCGAGACUUUGCGAGGGGCCUCGGGGUGCCAAAAAUAAGCCGCGGGCAAAGCCGCGCCCAAAAAUAAGCGCCCGAAGGUUGUGGUGCCAAAACCCCCCAGCGGAAAAAUGGCCAAAAAACGGGUGGGCUAUAGCCUUGGUGGGGGGCGCGGGCGAAGUUCGUCCGCCGGACUCGGAAUGGGGCGAGACUUUGCGAGGGGCCUCGGGGUGUCUAAAAUAUUCCGCGGGCAAAGCCGCGACCGAAGGUCGUGGUGCCAAAACCCCCCAGCGGAACAAUUGCCAAAAAACGGGUGGGCUAUAGCCUUGGUGGGGGGCACGGGCGAAGUUCGUCCGCCGGACUCGGAAUGGGGCGAGACUUUGUGAGUGGCCUCGGGGUGCCAAAAAUAAGCCGCGGGCAAAGCCGCGCCCAAAAAUAAGCGCCCGAAGGUCGUGGUGCCAAAACCCCCCAGCAGAAAAAUGGCCAAAAAACGGGUCGGCUAUAGCCUUGUUGGGGGGCGCGGGCGAAGUUCGUCCGCCGGACUCGGAAUGGGGCGAGACUUUGCGAGGGGCCUCGGGGUGCCAAAAAUAAGCCGCGGGCAAAGCCGCGCCCAAAAAUAAGUGCCUGAAGGUCGUGGUGCCAAAACCCCCCAGCGGAACAAUGGCCAAAAAACGGGUCGGCUAUAGCCUUGGUGGGGGGCGCGGGCGAAGUGCGGAACAAUGGCCAAAAAACGGGUCGGCUAUAGCCUUGGUGGGGGGCGCGGGCGAAGUUCGUCCGCCGGACUCGGAAUGGGGCGAGACUUUGCGAGGGGCCUCGGGGUGCCAAAAAUAAGCCGCGGGCAAAGCCGCGCCCAAAAAUAAGCGCCCGAAGGUUGUGGUGCCAAAACCCCCCAGCGGAACAAUGGCCAAAAAACGGGUGGGCUAUAGCCUUGGUGGGGGGCGCGGGCGAAGUUCGUCCGCUGGACUCGGAAUGGGGCGAGACUUUGCGAGGGGCCUCGGGGUGCCAAAAAUAAGCCGCGGGCAAAGCCGCGCCCAAAAAUAAGCACCCGAAGGUCGUGGUGCCAAAACCCCCCAGCGGAACAAUGGCCAAAAAACGGGUGGGCUAUAGCCUUGGUGGGGGGCGCGGGCGAAGUUCGUCCGCCGGACUCGGAAUGGGGCGAGACUUUGCGAGGGGCCUCGGGGUGCCAAAAAUAAGCCGCGGGCAAAGCCGCGCCCAAAAAUAAGUGCCCGAAGGUCGUGGUGCCAAAACCCCCCAGCGGAACAAUGGCCAAAAAACGGGUCGGCUAUAGCCUUGGUGGGGGGCGCGGGCGAAGUUCGUCCGCCGGACUCGGAAUGGGGCGAGACUUUGCGAGGGGCCUCGGGGUGCCAAAAAUAAGCCGCGGGCAAAGCCGCGCCCAAAAAUAUGCGCCCGAAGGUCGUGGUGCCAAAACCCCCCAGCGGAAAAAUGGCCAAAAAACGGGUGGGCUAUAGCCUUGGUGGGGGGCGUGGGCGAAGUUCGUCCGCCGGACUCGAAAUGGGGCGAGACUUUGCGAGGGGCCUCGGGGUGCCAAAAAUAAGCCGCGGGCAAAGCCGCGCCCAAAAAUAAGCGUCCGAAGGUCGUGGUGCCAAAACCCCCCAGCGGAAAAAUGGCCAAAAAACGGGUGGGCUAUAGCCUUGGUGGGGGGCGCGGGCGAAGUUCGUCCGCCGGACUCGGAAUGGGGCGAGACUUUGCGAGGGGCCUCGGGGUGCCAAAAAUAAGCCGCGGGCAAAGCCGCGCCCAAAAAUAAGUGCCCGAAGGUCGUGGUGCCAAAACCCCCCAGCGGAACAAUGGCCAAAAAACGGGUCGGCUAUAGCCUUGGUGGGGGGCGCGGGCGAAGUUCGUCCGCCGGACUCGGAAUGGGGCGAGACUUUGCGAGGGGCCUCGGGGUGCCAAAAAUAAGCCGCGGGCAAAGCCGCGCCCAAAAAUAAGCGCCCGAAGGUUGUGGUGCCAAAACCCCCCAGCGGAAAAAUGGCCAAAAAACGGGUGGGCUAUAGCCUUGGUGGGGGGCGUGGGCGAAGUUCGUCCGCCGGACUCGGAAUGGGGCGAGACUUUGCGAGGGGCCUCGGGGUGCCAAAAAUAAGCCGAGGGCAAAGCCGCGCCCAAAAAUAAGCGCCGAAGGUCGUGGUGCCAAAACCCCCCAGCGGAAAAAUGGGCAAAAAACGGGUGGGCUAUAGCCUUGGUGGGGGGCGCGGGCGAAGUUCGUCCGCCGGACUCGGAAUGGGGCGAGACUUUGCGAGGGGCCUCGGGGUGCCAAAAAUAAGCCGAGGGCAAAGCCGCGCCCAAAAAUAAGCGCCGAAGGUCGUGGUGCCAAAACCCCCCAGCGGAAAAAUGGCCAAAAAACGGGUGGGCUAUAGCCUUGGUGGGGGGCACGGGCGAAGUUCGUCCGCCGGACUCGGAAUGGGGCGAGACUUUUCGAGGGGCCUCGGGGUGCCAAAAAUAAGCCGCGGGCAAAGCCGCGCCCAAAAAUAAGCACCCGAAGGUCGUGGUGCCAAAACCCCCCAGCGGAACAAUGGCCAAAAAACGAGUGGGCAAUAGCCUUGGUGGGGGGCGCGGGCGAAGUUCGUCCGCCGGACUCGGAAUGGGGCGAGACUUUGCGAGGGGCCUCGGGGUGCCAAAAAUAAGCCGCGGGCAAAGCCGCGCCCAAAAAUAAGCACCCGAAGGUCGUGGUGCCAAAAUCCCCCAGCGGAAGAAUGGCCAAAAAACGGGUGGGCUAUAGCCUUGGUGGGGGGGGCGGGCGAAGUUCGUCCACCGGACUCGGAAUGGGGCGAGACUUUGCGAGGGGCCUCGGGGUGCCAAAAAUAAUCCGCGGGCAAAGCCGCGCCCGAAGGUCGUGGUGCCAAAACCCCCCAGCGGAACAAUGGCCAAAAAACGGGUGGGCUAUAGCCUUGGUGGGGGGCACGGGCGAAGUUCGUCCGCCGGACUUGGAAUGGGGCGAGACUUUGCGAGGCACCUCGGGGUGCCAAAAAUAAGCCGCGGGCAAAGCCGAGCCCAAAAAUAAGCGCCCGAAGGUCGUGGUGCCGAAACCCCCCAGCGGAACAAUGGCCAAAAAACGGGUGGGCUAUAGCCUUGGUGGGGGGCGCGGGCGAAGUUCGUCCGCCGGACUCGGAAUGGGGCGAGACUUUGCGAGGGGCCUCGGGGUGCCAAAACUAAGCCGCGGACAAAGCCGCGCCCGAAGGUCGUGGAGCCAAAACCCCCCAGCGGAAAAAUGGCCAAAAAACGGGUGGGCUAUAGCCUUGGUGGGGGGCGCGGGCGAAGUUCGUCCGCCGGACUCGGAAUGGGGCGAGACUUUGCGAGGGGCGUCGGGGUACCAAAAAUAAGCCACGAGCAAAGCCGCGCCCAAAAAUAAGCGCCCGAAGGUCGUGGUGCCAAAACCCCCCAGCGGAAAAAUGGCCAAAAAACGGGUGGGCUAUAGCCUUGGUGGGGGGCGCGGGCGAAGUUCGUCCGCCGGACUCGGAAUGGGGCGAGACUUUGCGAGGGGCCUCGGGGUGCCAAAAAUAAGCCGAGGGCAAAGCCGCGCCCAAAAAUAAGCGCCGAAGGUCGUGGUGCCAAAAUCCCCCAGCGGAAAAAUGGCCAAAAAACGGGUGGGCUAUAGCCUUGGUGGGGGGCACGGGCGAAGUUCGUCCGCCGGACUCGGAAUGGGGCGAGACUUUUCGAGGGGCCUCGGGGUGCCAAAACUAAGCCGCGGGCAA
rnacentral:lncRNA from 1 species